UUACACACUUAUUUGGUUCACAAACAUGACUUAAACAUGAAUAAAAUGGUUGAAUUGUGGCUUAAUCUUAUUAAAUUCAUGCAAUGUAGGUAUUUCAAUGGAAAUUGUGGAAUUCAGGAGAAAAGAGCCGAAGAAGGACCAAAACUCAACAAAGUGAUAGUUCGAGGACCAAAUGUGCAAAUAUUGAGAAGUUGAGCUAAAUGCAAAAUGAGAGUAACAACAUGCCAAGUAUGAGCUCAAUGACAAAUCAAAACAAUUGGAAGAAGAAAGAAGUGAAAAGGGACUGAAUUGAAGACAAUUGAAAGAUUCAGGACUAAAGGUGCAAAUACUCAAAAGAUGUGCCGAAU
rnacentral:lncRNA from 1 species